rnacentral:rRNA from 1 species
UGUCGCCCAUUUCUCCCCCUCCUUGAGCAGAUUUGCCAGGGGCAGAUUUGGAUUGUCAGCUGAAGAUGCCGCCGACGCAGUCCAAGAGACUCUGCUGAGAUGCUUCACGAUCAGGAACACGUAUCGAAGAUCCCGGGGGCACCUUCACGCGUGGGU